rnacentral:rRNA from 1 species
UACGAAGGGGGCUAGCGUUGCUCGGAAUCACUGGGCGUAAAGCGCACGUAGGCGGCUUUCUAAGUCAGGGGUGAAAUCCUGGAGCUCAACUCCAGAACUGCCUUUGAUACUGGAGAGCUUGAGUCCGGAAGAGGUGAGUGGAACUGCGAGUGUAGAGGUGAAAUUCGUAGAUAUUCGCAAGAACACCAGUGGCGAAGGCGGCUCACUGGCCCGGUAUUGACGCUGAGGCGCGAAAGCUAGGGGAGCAAACGGG